GAAUUUUCACACUGUACAACGACCUGCAUUCUUGGAAUGAUACUAAUGGAGUUUGUAGGCGGCAUGGACAACAACUGCUCAGACUGAAGGCGGCCAGACAGCAGGAGGUGUUCAAUUUGUUUAUGACAACAUGGGUAGAAGACGAGGAUUUGAAUUCCGACGUCUGGGUUGGUCUCUAUGACUUGGAGCCGGACAACGGUGACGACUUUGUGCACACAUGGACAGACGGUACAGCACUCGCAACAUCUUAAACUGGGCACCCCGUGAACCGAACUCUAAGGGAAGAGAGAAUUGUGUCCGGUAUACACUAAGUCUCAACUACAGAACCAUGACUUGUGACAGGCUAUAUGCAACAGUAUGUGAAACGGAAACUGGAUGCUGGUUUACUGAGCAAAGGGGUCACGUGGUUUCCGGUUUAGAAUUACACUCAACGACAAAACAAGACGUGGAGACGUGCAAGAGGACUUGCCUGGAAAUGGACAGAGAAGGUCAACUUUGUGUUGCCGUUGGACACGAUGGCUCUUCCUGUCAAACGUAUACAGGAAGUUAUGUUUACACCGCCAUUUCUACACCUGAGCUGCAGACGAAUCCCCAGUCAGCUGUCUAUCUAAAACGA